UACGUAGGGGGCAAGCGUUGUCCGGAUUUAUUGGGCGGAAAGAGCGUGUAGGCGGCCAUGUAGGUCCGUUGUGAAAACUCGAGGCUCAACCUCGAGACGCCGAUGGAAACCAUGUGGCUAGAGUCCGGAAGAGGAGAGUGGAAUUCCUGGUGUAGCGGUGAAAUGCGCAGAUAUCAGGAAGAACACCCGUGGCUAAGGCGGCUCUCUAGUACGGUACUGACGCUGAGACGCGAAAGCGUGGGGAGCAAACAGG
rnacentral:rRNA from 1 species